rnacentral:rRNA from 1 species
GUUAGGAAUAUUGGACAAUGGGCGCAGGCCUGAUCCAGCCAUGCCGCGUGAGUGAUGAAGGCCUUCGGGUUGUAAAGCUCUUUAGUCCACGAAUAUAAUGACUGUAGUGGAAGAAUAAGCCCCGGCUAACUUCGUGCCAGCAGCCGCGGUAAUACGAAGGGGGCGAGCGUUAUUCGGAAUCACUGGGCGUAAAGCGUGCGUAGGCUGUUUUGUAAGUCAGAAGUGAAAGCCCAGGGCUUAACCCUGGAAUUGCUUUUGAAACUACAAGACUCGAAUUCGGGAGAGGAUAGCGGAAUUGUCAGUGUAGCAGUGAAAUGCGUAGAUAUUGACAGGAACACCAGUGGCGCAAGCGGCUAUCUGGACCGAUAUUGACGCUGAGGCACGAAAGCGUGGGGAGCAAACAGGAUUAGAAACCCUAGUAGUCC